UUCGCCCUUGAGUUUGAUCAUGGNUCANAACGAACGCUGGCGGCGUGCUUAACACAUGCAAGUCGAACGGGUUUAUUGGAUGUAGCAAUACAUUCAAUAGAUUAGUGGCGCACGGGUGAGUAACACGUAGGCAACCUACCCUUCAGUGGGGGACAACAGAGGGAAACUUCUGCUAAUACCGCAUACGGCCUUGUACUGGGAUGUACGAGGAGAAAGGAUUUAUUCGCUGAGGGAUGGGCCUGCGGCCUAUCAGGUAGUUGGAGGGGUAAAGGCCUACCAAGCCUGCGACGGGUAGCCGGACUGAGAGGUCNACCGGCCACACUGGAACUGAGACACGGUCCAGACUCCUACGGGAGGCAGCAGUGGGGAAUAUUGCACAAUGGGGGAAACCCUGAUGCAGCGACGCCGCGUGGAGGAUGACGGCCUUCGGGUUGUAAACUCCUUUUGUCAGGGACAAUGGUGAUGGUACCUGACGAAUAANCCACGGCUAACUCUGUGCCAGCAGCCGCGGUACAAGGGCGAAUUCGCGGCCGCUAAUUUCAAUUCGCUNGGGGGGGGG
rnacentral:rRNA from 1 species